CUCAAAAAUUUUCAGCCGCCACCAGCAGCCUUCUCUUCCUCCCCACGUCUCCUUCCUCCUCUUGCCGUGCAGCAGCAAGCACCUCCCUGGCUUCCCUUGCGCAGGGGGCUUUCUUCUCCAUGGGCGCUGGCCAAGAUCACCCCAUGGCGCUUGGCUCCCUGGAACACAGCAGCACGCCAGCGCAGGGCCUUCCCAUGGCUGCGAGCUCCUUCUCCCGGCGAGCGGCUGCAGCAGGGGGUCGUCUCCUCCAUGGCGCGGACGAACUACCUCCCUGCAGGCAAGCAGCAGCCCCCUCAGCUCCUUCUAUGGCGCCCAGUCUGCAUGCACGACCGAGAUCCAUCAGUUCCUAUGUUCCCCAUGGCCGAGCUCGCCCCAUGGACUUGGCUCCUUGGUUCUUCUUUCACGUACGCGCCCUCUCCAACCUGCAGCACGUCCCCUGCUCCACGGCCAGCAGGAAGCCAGCGCCCCUCUGCAGCUCGGCUUCUCCUCUCCCAUGGCCGAGGCCGAGCUUCCCUGGUGCAGGCGCCCCCUUUUCUUCCACCUCUGGCCGGUCUUUUCUGCGCAGCAAGCCGCGCGCAGCAGCAGCAUUGUUCUUCGCCUUGCGUCGUCGUCGAGCUUCGCCACUCUCCUCCCCAUGACCCGCAGCCCUCGCACCCUCUACCCUCCCCAAAAACAGCAAGCCCCCAGCAGCCCCGGAUUCCCUCCGUGUCGCUUGCAUGCCACCCGCUCGAUGUAUUGCGCAGCCACAUUGUCGCUGCUCGCUGCCCGUCAACGUGCAGCCCUUCUGUUUUCUCCAUUGGCACAGCAGCCCCGUCGUCUCCGCGCGCUGCCGGCUCGCUGUUUUGUGGAGCCAAUGGACAGCACGCCGUGAUGCCUGCCGUGUGUUCGCUGUUUUUGCGCAGCCCCAAACAUCGACGUCGUUCACCCCGGUGAGACCGCGACGCUCCUUGUUCGAUUCCGCAUCGACAUUAUUUUCCUAUGAUUAAUUAUGUAUGUGUGCUGCUUUGUUUUAUUUUUGAGGAGGAGAGAACCCCGUGUUUUGCGUGGAGAAGGCAAGCCGCUCGACGCUCGUCGAUGUCGUAGCGAUGCACAAAUCGGAAUCACCGUCGUUCUUGCAAACACCGAUUGGGUUUGUUUAUGGACCGAGAGGUGACGAUCGUGCAAGUGAUGUGGUGCCAACCACAAGCUGCAGUUGGUGGACGUACGGAAGGAUGGUGGACUUAAUCAGUGGAUGCUCGCCAAGCGAGUACCUCCCCCAGCAAACACUAUCUAAGUGUCAAACUAAAGGUACCUCCUUGCUUUGGUUGUUGGUGUGACUUGACCUUCAUCCCUGCCACCGGGAUAGACGGUCGAGUGGGUUACUGCUUCCGCAGGAGAGGACCAGGAGGAGUAGCGUGGCCAGGCUUCGCCAUGUUACUCGGUUUUCUCCGUUAGUUAUCUCCGCUGCAUUAAAAUUUAUGAUUAUUAUUUCUGAAACUCCGAUAAUGUAAUCACUAAUGAUACUUAUUAAAUUUGUGGUAUUAUGCUUU